UAAGGGAAAGAAACAAAGCAGAGGUGAGGUGACUCAGAAAUGCCUGUACUUUGUCAGGAUAAAAUUACUACCUAAGAAAAUUGAAAUCAAAGGCAGCCUGAACAUGAACUGAAAUCAUGCGGUGGCAGGCAGACCUCCAGGCACCAAAGUGUCUUUGAACAGGCUGGCAGGUGGGAGCUGAGAGCGUGUGUAACCCAGAUCUAGGGCAGAGUCGGGGCCAGGAGAUGCCUCCAGGGAGGCAGGGAAUGCCCGCUCUGUACAGCCCGUUAAAGAUUUCUAAUAUGCAAUGUUGUGUAGGGUCUGUGAGAAAUCCUUUAAUGUGGGAAUCUGUUUAACUUUCU
rnacentral:lncRNA from 1 species